rnacentral:rRNA from 1 species
GGUGGUGCAUGGCUGUCGUCAGCUCGUGUCGUGAGAUGUUGGGUUAAGUCCCGCAACGAGCGCAACCCUUGUCCUGUGUUGCCAGCGUGCCCUUCGGGGUGACGGGGACUCACAGGAGACCGCCGGGGUCAACUCGGAGGAAGGUGGGGACGACGUCAAGUCAUCAUGCCCCUUAUGUCUUGGGCUGCACACGUGCUACAAUGGCCGGUACAAUGAGCUGCGAUACCGUGAGGUGGAGCGAAUCUCAAAAAGCCGGUCUCAGUUCGGAUUGGGGUCUGCAACUCGACCCCAUGAAGUCGGAGUUGCUAGUAAUCGCAGAUCAGCAUUGCUGCGGUGAAUACGUUCCCGGGCCUUG